rnacentral:lncRNA from 1 species
GGGAAUAGAACUAGGAGGGGAGAGACGAGUAAAUCAUUCGCUAGUGUGUCCUACCUAAGCUUAAUUGUUAGUUGGUCAGUAUAUAGGGAUAUUAUGUGAUAUAUUGAUUUCCUUAAUUAACCCUUGUUUUAUGACAGUAUUUGAGAAUGUCGACUGAGAAUAUUAACAAUGGAAAUGAAACCGUGGAGACGCCUGUACUCACCAACGAGGAGAACGUGCAACAGGCUGGUAAUGUUCCUCCUGUGAACAACACCACGGAGCAGAUGAUGAACG